CUUCUGGAGAGCCCAGACUGCAGACUGGAGACCCUCAGGAUCAGAGGUCAUGAGACGAUCAGAGCCAAGAUCCAGAAGAACUGUGACAGGAAGUGAAGACAGACUGAAAGAUGUCCUCCUCUCUUCCUCCUGCUGAUCACCUGCUUCCUCUCAGCCACUUCCUGUGUGUCAUCGUCACUUCCUGUGUGUCAUCAUCACUUCCUGUGUGUCAUCGUCACUUCCUGCCUUGAUCCUGCAACCUGUGAGCUUAAUGAGUCUUCACUGUUUUAAUUAAUCACUGAAUGAAUUGAAUGUAAUGGUUGGUGUUUCUCGUGUUGCUCUGCGCUCCCCUUCCUGACACAUGGGGACUGAUGUUUUAUCUCUAAUGUGCUUUGUGCUAAAUGCUAGCUUUAGCGUGCUAAUGCAUGCUCACUGUAGUGCUGAUGUUUAGCAGGGUCACUGUUUAGUGUUUGAGAUCCUUUCCUGCCGUUAAAGCUCUAAUACUACAGUAAUGUAUUCAAUUAACCCUCCUGUUGUGUUGGGUCAAAUCUGACCGAUCUACUACUUUCAUCAAUCAUAACUUAUUUUG